GAUGAACGCUGGCGGCGUGCUUAAUACAUGCAAGUCGAGCGAACAGACGCGGCGCUUGCUCCUCUGACGUUAGCGGCGGACGGGUGAGUCACACGUGGAUAACCUCCCUAUAAGACUGGGAACACUUCGGGAAACCGGCGCUAAUACCGUAUAAUAUAUUGCACCGCAUGGUUCAAUGGAGAAAUACGGCUUUGCUGUCACUUAUAGCUGGAUCUGCGCCGCAUUGGGUGGUUGGUACGGUAACGGCUUACGACGGCAAGGCUGCGUAGCCGACCGGUCAGGGUGAUCGGCCGCACUGGAAGGGGGACAGGGUCCAGGGGCCUACGGUAGGGAGCAGUAGGCAAUCGGCCGCAAUGGGCGGAAACUUGACGGAGCAAGGCCGCGUGUGUGAUAAAGGUCUUCGGAGCGUAAAACUCUGUUAUGAGGUAAGAACAGAUUUGUAAGUAACGAAGCACGUCUUGACGGUACCGAAUCAGAAAGCCACGGCUAACUACGUG
rnacentral:rRNA from 1 species